GAUGAACGCUAGCGGCAGGCCUAAUACAUGCAAGUCGAACGGGAUCCAGAUCAAAGCUUGCUUUGGUUUGGUGAGAGUGGCGCACGGGUGCGUAACGCGUGAGCAACCUACCCUUGUCAGGGGGAUAGCCCGGCGAAAGUCGGAUUAAUACCGCAUGACAUCAUUGAGAGGCAUCUUUCGAUGAUCAAAGAUUUAUCGGACAAGGAUGGGCUCGCGUGACAUUAGCUAGUUGGUAAGGUAACGGCUUACCAAGGCUACGAUGUCUAGGGGCUCUGAGAGGAGAAUCCCCCACACUGGUACUGAGACCCGGACCAGACUCCUACGGGAGGCAGCAGUAAGGAAUAUUGGUCAAUGGACGGAAGUCUGAACCAGCCAUGCCGCGUGCAGGAAGACGGCCCUAUGGGUUGUAAACUGCUUUUAUACGGGAACAAACGUCGGUACGUGUACCGGUCUGAGUGUACCGUAAGAAUAAGGAUCGGCUAACUCCGUG
rnacentral:rRNA from 1 species